GAUGAACGCUGGCGGCGUGCCUAAUACAUGCAAGUCGAGCGAACAGACGAGGAGCUUGCUCCUCUGACGUUAGCGGCGGACGGGUGAGUAAAACGUGGAUAACCUACCUAUAAGACUGGGAUAACUUCGGGAAACCGGAGCUAAUACCGGAUAAUAUAUUGAACCGCAUGGUUCAAUAGUGAAAGACGGUUUUGCUGUCACUUAUAGAUGGAUCCGCGCCGCAUUAGCUAGUUGGUAAGGUAACGGCUUACCAAGGCAACGAUGCGUAGCCGACCUGAGAGGGUGAUCGGCCACACUGGAGCUGAGACGCCGUCCCGACUCCUACGGGAGGCAGCAGUAGGGAAUCUUCCGCAAUGGGCGAAAGCCUGACGGAGCAACGCCGCGUGAGUGAUGAAGGUCUUCGGAUCGUAAAACUCUGUUAUUAGGUAAAAACAAAUGUGUAAGUAACUAUGCACGUCUUGACGGUACCUAAUCAGAAAGCCCCGGCUAACUACGUG
rnacentral:rRNA from 1 species